GGGGAAUAUUGCACAAUGGGCGAAAGCCUGAUGCAGCAACGCCGCGUGAGUGAUGAAGGUCUUCGGAUUGUAAAGCUCUGUCUUUUGGGACGAUAAUGACGGUACCAAAGGAGGAAGCCACGGCUAACUACGUGCCAGCAGCCGCGGUAAUACGUAGGUGGCGAGCGUUGUCCGGAUUUACUGGGCGUAAAGGGUGCGUAGGCGGAUGUUUAAGUGAGAUGUGAAAUACCCGGGCUUAACUUGGGUGCUGCAUUUCAAACUGGAUAUCUAGAGUGCAGGAGAGGAGAAUGGAAUUCCUAGUGUAGCGGUGAAAUGCGUAGAGAUUAGGAAGAACACCAGUGGCGAAGGCGAUUCUCUGGACUGUAACUGACGCUGAGGCACGAAAGCGUGGGUAGCAAACAGGAUUAGAUACCCUGGUAGUCCACGCCGUAAACGAUGAGUACUAGGUGUAGGAGGUAUCGACCCCUUCUGUGCCGCAGUAAACACAUUAAGUACUCCGCCUGGGAAGUACGAUCGCAAGAUUAAAACUCUAAAGUGAAUUGACGGGGGUC
rnacentral:rRNA from 1 species